AUAACAUCCGGAAACGGGUGCUAAUACGCAUAGUUUUCUUGGUCGCAUGAUCGGGAAAGGAAAGACGGCCUUUGUGCUGUCGCUUAUGGAUGGACCCGCGGCGUAUUAGUUAGUUGGUGAGGUAACGGCUCACCAAGACGAUGAUACGUAGCCGACCUGAGAGGGUGAUCGGCCACAUUGGGACUGAGACACGGCCCAAAUCCUACGGGAGGCAGCAGUAGGGAAUCUUCCGCAAUGGACGAAAGUCUGACGGAGCAACGCCGCGUGAGUGAAAAGAAGGUUUUUCGGAUCGUAAAACUCUGUUGUCAGAGAAGAACAAGUUGGAGAGUAACUGCUCCAGCCUUGACGGUAUCUGACCAGAAAGCCACGGCUAACUACGUGCCAGCCGCCGC
rnacentral:rRNA from 1 species